rnacentral:rRNA from 1 species
UACGAAGGGGGCUAGCGUUGCUCGGAAUCACUGGGCGUAAAGGGUGCGUAGGCGGGUCUUUAAGUCAGGGGUGAAAUCCUGGAGCUCAACUCCAGAACUGCCUUUGAUACUGAAGAUCUUGGAGUUCGGGAGAGGUGAGUGGAACUGCGAGUGUAGAGGUGAAAUUCGUAGAUAUUCGCAAGAACACCAGUGGCGAAGGCGGCUCACUGGCCCGAUACUGACGCUGAGGCACGAAAGCGUGGGGAGCAAACAGG